rnacentral:rRNA from 1 species
GGCGGCAGGCCUAACACAUGCAAGUCGAGCGGAAACGAGUUAUCUGAACCUUCGGGGAACGAUAACGGCGUCGAGCGGCGGACGGGUGAGUAAUGCCUAGGAAAUUGCCCUGAUGUGGGGGAUAACCAUUGGAAACGAUGGCUAAUACCGCAUGAUGCCUACGGGCCAAAGAGGGGGACCUUCGGGCCUCUCGCGUCAGGAUAUGCCUAGGUGGGAUUAGCUAGUUGGUGAGGUAAGGGCUCACCAAGGCGACGAUCCCUAGCUGGUCUGAGAGGAUGAUCAGCCACACUGGAACUGAGACACGGUCCAGACUCCUACGGGAGGCAGCAGUGGGGAAUAUUGCACAAUGGGCGCAAGCCUGAUGCAGCCAUGCCGCGUGUGUGAAGAAGGCCUUCGGGUUGUAAAGCACUUUCAGUCGUGAGGAAGGCGGGGUCGUUAAUAGCGUCUUCGUUUGACGUUAGCGACAGAAGAAGCACCGGCUAACUCCGUGCCAGCAGCCGCGGUAAUACGGAGGGUGCGAGCGUUAAUCGGAAUUACUGGGCGUAAAGCGCAUGCAGGUGGUUUGUUAAGUCAGAUGUGAAAGCCCGGGGCUCAACCUCGGAAUAGCAUUUGAAACUGGCAGACUAGAGUACUGUAGAGGGGGGUAGAAUUUCAGGUGUAGCGGUGAAAUGCGUAGAGAUCUGAAGGAAUACCGGUGGCGAAGGCGGCCCCCUGGACAGAUACUGACACUCAGAUGCGAAAGCGUGG